rnacentral:rRNA from 1 species
GGGGGGGGGUGGGGGCGGGGGGGGGGGGUGGGGGGGGGGGGGGGGGGGCCGGCUUUUGUGGGGUGGGCGGGGGGGGAAGGGGUGGGUAACACGGUGGUAGCCUGCGCUUGCCUUUGGGAUAAGUUCAGGAAACGGGGCCUACUACCGGAUAGGAGCUCCUGGUGCAUGGUGGGGGGUGGAAAGUUUCUGCGGGUGGGGAUGGCCUCGCGGCUGAUCAGCUUGUGUGUGUGGUGGUGGCUUACCAAGGCUUUGACGUGUAGCCGGCCUGAGAGGUUUACCGGCCACAUUGGGACUGAGAUACGGCCCAGACUCCUACGGGAGGCAGCAGUGGGGAAUAUUGCACAAUGGGCGGAAGCCUGAUGCAGCAACGCCGCGUGCGGGAUGACGGCCUUCGGGUUGUAAACCGCUUUCGCCUGUGACGAAGCGUGAGUGACGGUAAUGGGUAAAGAAGCACCGGCUAACUACGUG